rnacentral:misc_RNA from 1 species
AAGUCGUAACAAGGUUUCCGUAGGUGAACCUGCGGAAGGAUCAUUACAAAUACUUGGUUAACGCCAACAUUUCAUGUGCAACUUACUGACGCUGCCAGAAUUUCGCAAGACCUUCGGGUUGAUCGAUACCUGGCAGCAAACCCGAUCGCUUGAAUCAAUAAUGUACUUUGGUGAUUCAAUGCAUGAGUCAAGCGGUCAGCGGGCUUUCGUUGUUGUCCUUGGAUAACAAUUGAAGCUCGUUUAUAAACAUUAUAACAUCAGUCUUAUUUAUCCGUCGUCAGAUAGUAGCGAUUCAGCGAAAUUUGAUGACAUAAAAGGGUUAAAAACUUUUAGCAACGGAUCUCUAGGCUCUC